GGCUUUUUAGACACUCUUCCCAAAUCCAUGGAGGUUUGCGAGUUGUUCCUUGGAACAAUCUAAGUUGUUCUCUUGAUAGUAGUACAUGAAUGAUACAACCAACUGGCCUUGACUUUAAGAUGAUGUCUCAGCAUGACCAUACCACUGGAUACAUAAAAAAUUCACAAGUAUUUCAGGCCCCUGAAAACCUUUACAAGCAUGGAUACAUCUUUGGCAGGCAAACUGCAUAACAAUGCCCCUUUGUCAGAAUCCAUGGAGCCACCACUGAACAGCAAAUUCUUUUCCCAAGGGUGUCUCAAAAAAGAAGAUUCAGACGUCCUUGGAAGAGAGGGAUGCAGUCUACCAGUCAUGGAAACUUCUGCAUAAAUCUGAGAAAUAUGUGAAGUCUUUCAUCAUUGCAAGCAAGGUUCUCUACAUGCUUUCUGGCCAAGAAUUUUAAUACUUCUGUUCAGAACUGGAUCUUUAUUUAAUGUUUUGUUUUGUUUUUUGGUCUACUUGCUUUGCCAGCCAUAUAAAGAGACAUUCAUUGUACCCCUCAUAUGCAGAAGAUAGACACUAAACAUUAUGGAAACUAAACUAAGGGAAACAGAAAUAGAACACACCAAAGACAACAGGUAAAUUGAGAUGAGAGAACUAAGGGAAUCUACACUGGCAUCACUGGAAGAAAAGGAGAAAAAAAAAGAUUUCAAGAAUGAUUCUCUUGCUAAAGAACCAAAUUCUGACAAUGGUCUGUGGGGA